UACGUAGGGGGCAAGCGUUGUCCGGAUUUAUUGGGCGUAAAGAGCGUGUAGGCGGCCUGGUAGGUCAGCUGUGAAAACUCGAGGCUCAACCUCGAGACGCCGGUUGAAACCAUCAGGCUAGAGUCCGGAAGAGGAGAGUGGAAUUCCCGGUGUAGCGGUGAAAUGCGCAGAUAUCGGGAAGAACACCCGUGGCUAAGGCGGCUCUCUAGUACGGUACUGACGCUGAGACACGAAAGCGUGGGGAGCGAACAGG
rnacentral:rRNA from 1 species